CCGCUUGUGUCCAUGGUCGAGAUCGAACGGUUGGAGGAAGCCGUUCGGAAGGAUUUCGGCGUGAGGGAUCAGUAUGUACGUUAUCUGUCCCUGAAAAAGCCCGCCAUCGAUGGACGUGACCAACUUUUUCUCGUACCUCUUCACGGACGACGCACUCAUGGGUUACAACUACUCCGGCACGAACAACAUCGGUGAGCAGAAGUUGCCGAUGAGAAACUACGAAAUCUUCAUCGAUUGCAUGAUCGAGGCCUGGGCUGAUCAUGGACUGACACACAAGGCGCUGGAGGAGAAAAUUAAAGUGACCGUGAAGAAGCUGACCGCUCGGCGACGGAUGCAAAAGUUUCGACGGCGAAAGGCGAUGCAAUUUUGAACGUUGUUGAAUAAACACUGAUAUGUUUCUAGAGAUGUUGCGCAUUUUAACUAACUGUUUCAAAUCGAUAAUCAACUUGUCGUAACUUUAACUGAAAAUUGUUCGAAAAUUUCCAGAUCCGCUGAAACGAGCUAGGAAGAUAUUCAAGAGGACGGUGGAGCCAGAUGAGUGUGCCGCCGCGGAUGACGAACAACGGUACAUGUUCAUAGUUAGCAGAAAGGGAGGCGUCCUGCUGGUGCAUGACAACCACAUAUAUCGGUCCAAUCUGCGACGCCAGGGCCAGCACAAGAAUAUACUGUACUGGGAGUGUUUGCACAAUCGCUCCGAAAAGUGUCGCGGCCGUCUGAAAAGCGAAGGGAACAAUCUGUUCAUUUCGAAUACGAAUGCUACACAUAACCAUCCGUCAGACUUGGACCGAAUCAAUCAAGCUAAGGUCGGAGGAGAGCUCACAUAUCGUACAUUCUAUUCGUUAUUUAAGUGAUACAUUUAGUUCUUUAUAUAAAAUUAUUUCCAUUUUUGCUAAUAUACAGUGACGAAGAAAGUCGAUAAAAUCUAGUACUGCAAAGUCAAA